rnacentral:rRNA from 1 species
AUUGAACGCUGGCGGCAUGCCUACACAUGCAAGUCGAACGAGUGGCGGACGGGUGAGUAAUGCCUAGGAAUGUGCCCAGUAGCGGGGGAUAACUUCCCGAAACCGUGCUAUACCGCAUACUAUUUGAUCGGCCUAUCUCGGAUUAGCUCGUUGGUGGGGUAACGGCCUACCAAGGCGACGAUCCGUAACUGGUUUGAGAGGAUGACCAGUCACACUGGAACUGAGACACGGUCCAGACUCCUACGGGAGGCAGCAGUGGGGAAUUUUGGACAAUGGGGGAAAGCCUGAUCCAGCCAUCCCGCGUGUGUGAAGAAGGUUUCGGGUUGUAAAGCACUGUAGGCAGGAAAGCGUUACCAGCAGAAUAAGCACCGGCUAACUACGUGCCAGCAGCCGCGGUAAUAC